UAAAGUUGUUGCAGUUAAAAAGCUCGUAGUUGAAUUUCGGGGUUAGCAGGUCGGUCGUGCCAAUGGCAUGCACUGGCUCGCUGACUCCUCCUUCUUGUAGAACCGUAAUGCCAUUAAUUUGGUGUUGCGGGGAAACAGGACUGUUACUUUGAAAAAAUUAGAGUGUUUAAAGCAGGCUAGCGCCUGAAUACAUUAGCAUGGAAUAAUGAAAUAGGACGUUCGAACCUAUUUUGUUGGUUUCUAGGAUUGACGUAAUGAUUAAUAGGG
rnacentral:rRNA from 1 species